rnacentral:tRNA from 1 species
GCUCAGUUGGUUGAGCGUCCGACUCUUGAUUUUGGCUCAAGUCAUGAUCCCAGGGUCGUGGGAUUGAGCCCCACAUUGGGCU